UUUUUCACGAAGGUUGUUAUUGGUCAUCCGUACCUGUUUUACCUGUUUUCCCUAUGAGAUAAACAAGGUAAUUCCCCUUGAAGAUUGACCCUUAUAUAUUUAGCACUUUCGACCAUCGAUCACCAUUGGCUCUGCACUAGCCGAAUCUGUCGACAAGCUACAAAUCCAGUUUUCUAUCAAAAUGGGUGACAGCGAAAAGCAAGGAAAAAAGAAUCUUACGACAAAAGAUGAUGUUGCAAGGAUCCAGAAGGCCCAAAAGGAUCCGGGACAUACCGAGAAAGGCAGCUAUGUGAGCAGAAUGCAAUCUGCAGCUGAUAAGAGGGAGAACGCGGGGUCCGACGACAAGAAAUGACCUUUGCAACCAAGAAAGAAAAAGUCUAGAUUUUAAUUGUUCUACUAAACACUGCUGUCUAAAGUCUGUUAUACCUGUUAUAACUUAGUUAUGAUAAUUUGAUUAGAGUGCUUUUAGUCUCACUGUU
rnacentral:lncRNA from 1 species